rnacentral:rRNA from 1 species
AGUCGAGCGGGGGAAGGUAGCUUGCUACCGGACCUAGCGGCGGACGGGUGAGUAAUGCUUAGGAAUCUGCCUAUUAGUGGGGGACAACAUCUCGAAAGGGAUGCUAAUACCGCAUACGUCCUACGGGAGAAAGCAGGGGAUCUUCGGACCUUGCGCUAAUAGAUGAGCCUAAGUCGGAUUAGCUAGUUGGUGGGGUAAAGGCCUACCAAGGCGACGAUCUGUAGCGGGUCUGAGAGGAUGAUCCGCCACACUGGGACUGAGACACGGCCCAGACUCCUACGGGAGGCAGCAGUGGGGAAUAUUGGACAAUGGGGGGAACCCUGAUCCAGCCAUGCCGCGUGUGUGAAGA